AUUGAACGCUGGCGGCAGGCCUAACACAUGCAAGUCGGACGGUAGCACAGGGGAGCUUGCUCCUCGGGUGACGAGUGGCGGACGGGUGAGUAAUGUCUGGGGAUCUGCCCGAUAGAGGGGGAUAACCACUGGAAACGGUGGCUAAUACCGCAUAAUGUCGCAAGACCAAAGAGGGGGACCUUCGGGCCUCUCACUAUCGGAUGAACCCAGAUGGGAUUAGCUAGUAGGCGGGGUAACGGCCCACCUAGGCGACGAUCCCUAGCUGGUCUGAGAGGAUGACCAGCCACACUGGAACUGAGACACGGUCCAGACUCCUACGGGAGGCAGCAGUGGGGAAUAUUGCACAAUGGGCGCAAGCCUGAUGCAGCCAUGCCGCGUGUAUGAAGAAGGCCUUCGGGUUGUAAAGUACUUUCAGCGGGGAGGAAGGCGAUGUGGUUAAUAACCGCGUCGAUUGACGUUACCCGCAGAAGAAGCACCGGCUAACUCCGUGCCAGCCGCCGCCGUAA
rnacentral:rRNA from 1 species